rnacentral:lncRNA from 1 species
CCUGGUGGGCUACAGUCCAUAGUGUUGCACAGAGUUGGACACAACUGAAGCGACUUAGCAUACACGCAGAUGCUUCUUUGAUUAUUCAAAUACAAAUUGCUAGUUAGAUUAUGAAUACUAAAUACUGAUUUAUUGAGUAUCUAUAACACGGUGGUGGUGGUGGUUUAGUUGCCAAGUCCGACUCUUGCGGCCCCAUGGACCGCAGCCUGCCAGGUUCCUCUGCUAAUGGGAUUCUUCAGGCAAGGACACUGGAGUGGGUUGCCAUUUCCUUCUCCANNNNNNNNNNNNNNNNNNNNNNNNNNNNNNNNNNCUCCUGCAUUGCAGGAAGAUUCUUUGCCAACUGAGCUAUGAGGGAAGCCCGUCUACAACAUAUGAGGUACUUUUCCUAAGUUAUCACAGUGAGGUUUCCGAGGAGGAUCUCGUAACCUCUAGAGGAAUAUGAAAGGGGAGCACAAAACCCCUUGCUCUUGUGGGUAGAACCUCAGUGGACUGAACCCCACCCUCUAGACCCGAAGCCAGGAGCAGGGGGGCUGGUUCCUUGGGGUGUGAUGGCUCUGGGUCCUAGCCUCUCACCUAGGACGUGAGCUGCCCCUAUGGAUGGCACGUUUGGAGAUCUUGAGAAGCCUCUCCUGUUUGGGAUGGGGUAAGUGGAGUGUUUGCAGAAGGCUGGGCCGUGAGGAGGCCAGCCUUUAAAGUCCUUCUUGUCUUAGGAUCCGUUGAAAUCCUGCUAUUCAGGACGACAGAAGUUUCAUUAUCUGUGACUGUUUUGAUGAGAAGAGGGCUUCUGAUUCUACCUGCUCAGAAACUGAGUCUUUGAAACGGAUUUCCUGGGAACUUUCUGAUGCUUGAAUGUGAAAGGGUUAAUCGCUCAGUCAUGUCCUACUCUUGGUGACUCAAGGACCCCUGGACUGUAGCUCACCAGGGUCCUCUGUCCACAGGAUUCUUCAGGCAAGAAUCCUGGAGUGGUUUGCCAUUCCCUUCUCCAAGGGAUCUUCNNNNNNAGGGAUUGAAGCUGGGUCUCCUGCAUUGCAGGCAGAUUCUUUACUGUCUGGGACACUUAGGGGCCCUUUCUUCUUGGGUCGUCCGCAUGGACAGGCCAGUCUUUCGGGCUUGAUGAGGAGGUGGUGGGGUGCACCCCAAGUCAGGGCCACCGUGAGCUGGGUGGGUCUGCCCUUUGGGAGCCUCCAUACAUAUGCACUGAUUCCUUCCACCUUGAGUCGUGAGGAAGAAGGUUCCCAUUGAUUUUCAGAUUACAUCAUUUUAGAGACUUUCCGAGAUAACCUUCCUACCUUUGUUUUCUUGACUUUUCCUUUGCCUGCCCUCGUGACACCAGAAAAGGGGAAAAAAGAAUCGAUUUGGAGAGCAGCGGGGGAAGCUUGGUAGCAGAUGGGUUUUUUCUGGGGCUGUUGUACAUGAGAUCAGGUUCCUUGGAACAGGGAGGUUGACUCUUCGCCUGAACUGGGAAGUAGGUU